AUCACUAAGCGGAGGAAAAGAAACUAACCAGGAUUCCCUCAGUAACGGCGAGUGAAGCGGGAAGAGCCCAGCACCGAAUCCCUCGGCCUGUCGCCGACGGGAACUGUGGUGUGUGGGACGCCACCUGUCCGCGGUGCCGGCAGCCGAAGUCCCCCUGAUCGGGGCCUCUCCCAGAGUGGGUGUCAGGCCUUUGCCGGCUUGCUCGGUCCGCGGGCUGCGAGCGUCUCAGGAGUCGGGUUGUUUGGGAAUGCAGCCCAAAGUGGGUGGUAAACUCCAUCUAAGGCUAAAUACUGGCACGAGUCCGAUAGCGGACAAGUACCGUGAGGGAAAGUUGAAAA
rnacentral:rRNA from 1 species